CCUACGGGAGGCAGCAGUGGGGAAUAUUGCACAAUGGGGGAAACCCUGAUGCAGCGACGCCGCGUGAGUGAAGACGUAAUUCGUUAUGUAAAGCUCUAUCAGCAGGGGAGAAAAUGACGGUACCUGUGUCAGAAGCCCAGGCUAACUACGUGCCAGCAGCCGCGGUAAUACGUAGGGGGCAAGCGUUAUCCGGAUUUACUGGGUGUAAAGGGGGCGUAGACGGCAGGGCAAGUCUGGAGGUAAAGGCGGGGGCUCAACCCCCGGACGGCUCUGGAAACUGUACGGCUGGAGUGCAGGAGAGGUAAGUGGAAUUCCUGGUGUAGCGGUGAAAUGCGUAGAUAUUAGGAGGAACACCAGUGGCGAAGGCGGCUUACUGGACCGUAACUGACGUUGAGGCUCGAAAGCGUGGGGAGCAAACAGGAUUAGAUACCCGAGUAGUC
rnacentral:rRNA from 1 species